rnacentral:rRNA from 1 species
CGCGUAGGCGGCCGUCCAAGUCCGAGGUGAAAGCCCCCCGGCUCAACCGGGGAAGGGGCCUUGGAUACUGGUCGGCUGGGGGGAGGUAGGGGCGGGCGGAACUUCCGGUGGAGCGGUGAAAUGCGUUGAUAUCGGAAGGAACGCCGGUGGCGAAAGCGGCCCGCUGGACCUCUGCCGACGCUGAGGCGCGAAAGCCAGGGGAGCGAACG